rnacentral:rRNA from 1 species
CCUACGGGAGGCAGCAGUGAGGAAUAUUGGUCAAUGGUCGGGAGACUGAACCAGCCAAGCCGCGUGAGGGAUGAAGGUACAGAGUAUCGUAAACCUCUUUUGUCAGGGAACAAAGGCGGGGACGCGUCCCCUGAUGAGUGUACCUGUAGAUAAAGCAUCGGCUAACUCCGCGCCAGCAGCCGCGGUAAUCCGGAGGAUGCGAGUGUUAUCCGGGUUUAUUGGGUUUAAAGGGUGUGCAGGCGGUAUGUUAAGUCAGCGGUAAAAGCCCGGGGCAAAAACCCGGACCGCCGUUGAAACUGGCAGGCUCGAGAUGGAGAGAAGUAAGCGGAAUGCGCGGUGUAGCAGUGAAAUGCAUAGAUAUC